GCGGCGGAGACACGGAAAGGUCAAACGGGCGGCGAGCGCGGCGGGGCACGGCCGGGCACGGCCGCUCCGGCAGCCUCCGCGGGACCCGCCGGCCGGGCGGCGCAGCCCCUCGGUCCCCGCCGCCUCCCUGCACAGAUACAACAGGGUUCAGCCAAAUGCAGGGCUGCAGAUGUUCAGUGUUUCCCAGUGUUCUGAAGGCUGAGCUGGUGUCUGUGCCUUGUCCAAACUGCUCCGUUCUCCGCUCCGAGUGGCCAUGCUCUGCCUUUCAUGGGGACUUCCACAUGCAGAAAUCACAGCGUGAGUUUGCAGUUUUGGGUGAGUGGGGAGCUGUCUUGUGUACUCUUGAUAACUUCCAGGAAAGGCUCAGAUUUGUAGCUUCUGGAAAGUGCUUUUUGGCAACAGAAGAUGCCCUGCUGACCCUUUGCAGCUUGGCAGAAAAUGCUUCUCAGCAUAUGAGUUUCCAAACACCUCUCUGAGUACUUCUUGGGGUUUCUGGCACAGAGCAGGUUUUUUAGCUUUCACCAAAUUGUCUCCCUUCCCUAUAUCCUCAGUACAAGGCAAACAAAAUAGACAGACUUAAGGCAGACUUAUUAAAUAAGAUUGAAAUGGGCAACCAAAGGGUAAAAGCAGAAUAGAAAGAAAAUUGUGUUCCAGUUAUCACAUGGUGACACAUCUGGUUGUUCUUACCUAGAGUUCUAAAGCAGGUCUCUGCUUUAGGGCCUGACAAGACAGUAGUAGUCUCUCAUUAGUGUUAGAUUUAAGUAUUCAAAGGUAAAAUUACUCAGUUUUCCAUCACAUCUUCAAUUCUUUUACCUCAUCCUCACUAGGACUCUGGCUGGAGGUAGGCAGCUUUGUGUUGAAAGAGUUGCUUUUCCAUUUUGUCCAUAUUCAUUUUGCUGGCCUACUGGUUCAUGUUUGAUAUGCAUCAGUACUUUAAUGAACUUGCUUGCAACAUGCUCAUAUGAUUAGUAUAAUGUGUUUUGUUAACUCCAUGUUUUCUGAGAGUAUCUUGAGCAUUUUAUAGAGACCUCAUGUGAUAUAUUUUUAGCCCUGCUGAUAAACUUCAACAAAAUCAUCUGAUUAUGUACAGAUCAUGCUUGUAAAUAAAUAUUCUUUCUCAUUUUCUCCCUAGUCUGCUUCUUUUGUAGUUUUGCUUAUCUUAAAUUAUUGUUCAGUAAACUUACCCAGUAAAACUUUAACUUAAGAACAAUCAAUAUUUCACUCACAUGUAGAACGAUAAGUAAACACAUUUUUUCCUAUCAAAUUAGGUUAAGAUAAGAAAUACUACAGCUAACUAAUUUUUAAUAUUACUUUGACAGGUGUGUACUUUAUCUCAGUACAACAAAGGCAGUGUUCAGGAAUGUUGUCCUGGUGGUGGUUCUGUGAGCAUAACCCUUGGUUGUCCCUGUAGGUCAAGGACAAAUUUCACACAGCCCUUUGCAGUGGGAUAACUAAGCUGUCUGCUGACAGGAUCAGGUACUUUCAGGUCACUGGAACAUUGGGAAUGUUCUGGUAUCAGGGCAGCCAGUUUUUCUGCAACCUGCCUCUCAUCUGUUCUGAAUAUAUCAAGGGAGUAUUUCAAGGAAAUGCUAAGGGAGGUGAAGGUGACUUCUUGGGCUUUAUGAAGAUUGGUGUGCGUAUCUCUAGCAGAACAGAACCUGCAGUGUUCAGAUUUGACUCAGCUGUGAUACAAGACAGAUUCUUUAACAAGGAAAUCUGUGAUAUUUUCUUAAACUACUCAUCUGUCCAUUUUGACUCCCUUUCUGUUUUUGAUUACUCUAACUUGAAAAAAAGAGUUGUCACAUCUGAUCCAAUGAUUUUAAUAUUAUUAAUUACAAAAUAAAUGUAGUAGUUGAUAUCCUUAGAUAUUAUGUGAUUAGGCAUGAUUGUUUGGUCUUGCAUUCUUCACUUGAUUUCAGCUUGCAUGACUGCUUUGAGUUCAGAAACCUAAUUAAAAUUUUAUGAUGAGUUUUUUGCUUUGAAUAUGGUGACUGAAUUACUUGUCUUGAUAAACACACUAGUUAGAUCGGUCUGCUAAGCUGAUGUUUCAGUUAAGAGUCAGGUUUUGCCAAAUAUUAACUAGAAGCAGUAAAAUCUCAUCUAAGUUUAAUGAAUCUGUGCACUUAAACAUUCCUUGGUUCUAACAAACUGAUGGAAGCUGUGAUUCUGUAUGUUAAUGUGAAAUGCAUAUUGCAAGAUCAGGGAGAAGUCUGUUCCUCUUUUACGCAACACGAACUUCAGUAUGAUGCUCCUUCUUGUAGUUAAUAAUACCUGACUUCUUGCUUAUAUAGAAAUUAAAACAAGACCUUUAUUUGUGCAGCUUGAAUCACUGUAAUGUGUAAUACUACUUUUAAAUUUCUCCUGAGAGUAUUGGACAUCCCAGUGAAACCAAACCUCUGCUGCAAUUUUCAAAGACUGUUAAUAAUAAUUUUUUUUUGUUGGUGGUGGGGAGAAGGGGUAAGGUUUUCUUAAGUUGCCUGCUUUAAAUGAAGUGACUACGUGUUUUCUGUCAGUUUACUGAUACACUACAAAUAUAUCUUUUUAAUAGUUUAGACAGUUUAUAAUCUGCUGGUAACUUGAAUUAUGUGGCUGUUCGCUUCAGUCAUUUAUUCCUCCUCUGUAGAAUCGAGUUAUUUUAGCUGUCUGGUUAAUCUUUGAACAGAUGGGACUUGCAGAUCAUUGGAGGCUGAAGCACUGUGGUAUACAGGCUAUUGAUAACUCUGGUGUUUCCUGUCUUUCAAGCUACUGGUUUAAAUUGUAAAAUAUAAUUAGCUUGAGGUGUUGUACCUUUAAGUAAUGUUUCAGUUAAGUUGGUGUUGGCAAGAUUAAAUAUUAGCUUUCACUUGCGUACAGAGCUUGACAGAUUUUGCCAACUAUGAUUUUGUUUCUUGCAUUUAAGCGGAGCCUAGGGCAGCCGACUAUGGCUUUGUGCAAGAAUGGUGAGUUUUGGUGCUUGAGUUUAUUGUACACAAAUGACUGGAAGGCUGUGUUUGCAGCAUUUCCUUAAGUGUGCAUUUGUAGGCCCCACUGUACAGAUUAACUUUUAGCAAUUUUCACAAAACGUACUUGUUCUAGAAAUGCUGCUGACAAUUUCAAUCAUCAGCAGCAUUGAAAUCAUGAUGCUUUUUGCUCUAGCACCAGCUAUAUUUGAAUGCUUUACAUUCUGAAAGAAAGUUAAAGACUUUACAUGAAGUUGAUUUUUUUAAAUGGAAUUAAAUGCUCAGAGGAAUUUUUUGUGAUUUUUACAGCAUUUCUAUUGAGCUAAUAUGGUCUUGGCUCUUUCAAGAGGUGAAGUAAGUCUUAAGGACUAUUGCAUCCUUGCACUUCAAACCUCUUCCAGGGGGCAUUGUCUGGUUCAUGAACUGAGUAUGGCAGGAUUCCUAUGAAGAGCCAUAUGUUUAUUUUUCUAUUUUUGUAAAUAUUUUUCAUAUGAACGGGGCAGCUUUAAUUUUUUUUUUUUUGCUAAUUUGUUGUGGUUCAUGCCUAGCUUUAAUGAGCUUUAUUUCAGGCUCUUAUAUAUAAAAUAAAAUCUUUAGUGCAGAAAGUCCAGAUUUAAUGACAUUUUUGUGUGGGAGCUCUAUUCUUGGGCUUGGCUUGCAUCACUGAUGCUAAUUCUGCAGAGCUGUAUCCUUGACCUAAUGAAAUAACUGAUGCUCAUGUGUCAGCAGCACGCGUGUCAUUUCCAGUCAGUGAAGGAAGUUAGAACCACAUCCUUGGGUGGAGGUUUUCACAGAUAUUUUUUGGGAAUAUUUGUAUUCAGCAAUGUGUUAUACCAGGAAAGUCUUCAAGGAGAUUUUUGCCUGAGGUGCUUUAAGAGGCUUCUGACUACUCAGAAAGUUUUUUGUUUAUUCUUGUGUUCUUUUGGUUUGCCUUGACCUCCCCAAGGGCUGGGUGCUUUCGGGACUAACCUGCACUGUACCAAGUACUGGGAAGUGGGGCAUUGGGAACAGAAAACAGACUUGGGACUCCUUCCAGCAUUUAGGAGAAGUGAUUGCUGUGGAAUUGCUCAGCUGAUUUCCAUGGAGGUGGAGUCUGCUGACCGUGUUUGGCACAGAAGCCUGUGGGAAGAGCUCCAUGUUAAUGUGCAGUGUUAACAGAGGAGGCUGAAGGACAGUGUUCAGACUUGCAGUGGGGGUGAACUUCGAUGCGGAGAGUGAAAAGCAGCUUCAUGUUCUUCUGGUGAUUUUUUUUGUUUUCCAAAUGUCAGGUUCCUCUUGCAAGACAGGGAAGUAUUAAGGCUGCAUCUAAAUGGUUGCAAAGUUUAUACUACAUUUAAGGAAGUGUGGUUUUGCCAAAUUGAUUUUUUGUUGUUUAAUCUUUCUCUGAGAUCUGCAUCUUGAUCACAUUACUGUUCCCCACUCAAAAUGUUGUUACCAAA